rnacentral:rRNA from 1 species
GUUAAAACUCAAAUGAAUUGACGGGGGCCCGCACAAGCGGUGGAGCAUGUGGUUUAAUUCGAUGCAACGCGAAGAACCUUACCUGGUCUUGACAUCCACGGAAGUUUUCAGAGAUGAGAAUGUGCCUUCGGGAACCGUGAGACAGGUGCUGCAUGGCUGUCGUCAGCUCGUGUUGUGAAAUGUUGGGUUAAGUCCCGCAACGAGCGCAACCCUUAUCCUUUGUUGCCAGCGGUCCGGCCGGGAACUCAAAGGAGACUGCCAGUGAUAAACUGGAGGAAGGUGGGGAUGACGUCAAGUCAUCAUGGCCCUUACGACCAGGGCUACACACGUGCUACAAUGGCGCAUACAAAGAGAAGCGACCUCGCGAGAGCAAGCGGACCUCAUAAAGUGCGUCGUAGUCCGGAUUGGAGUCUGCAACUCGACUCCAUGAAGUCGGAAUCGCUAGUAAUCGUGGAUCAGAAUGCCACGGUGAAUACGUUCCCGGGCCUUGUACACACCGCCCGUCACACCAUGGGAGUGGGUUGCAAAAGAAGUAGGUAGCUUAACCUUCGGGAGGGCGCUUACCACUUUGUGAUUCAUGACUGGGGUGAAGUCGUAACAAGGUAACCGUAGGGGAACCUGCGGUUGGAUCACCUCCUU